GCCAGCCUUGCCACCCCGAUCUCUCCCUAACCCUUCUGAUCUGAGAAGCCAAGCCGAGUCAUGUGUUUAGGACUUGGAUGAGAGCUUCUGUGGCUUUUCAUCAAGGCAGGAC
ensembl:rRNA 5S_rRNA 5S ribosomal RNA